rnacentral:lncRNA from 1 species
CCAAGAAGUAUAUAUUAGGUGCUGCCCAACCCCCAUAAUACCUAAAGUUUACACAUAUCAAUAGCAGAAGGUAAAAUUCAAGGCCUUUUCAUAAAAGAAUCAGAAUCCCCAAGCUAGAACAUAUGAAGAAAAGGGGGUGACUUACAAUUCCCAUAAAUAAUUGGAAGCUUCAUUAUUUCCACCGAUAAAAAUCAUGGGAACUGGGGCAACCUCCUGACCCGAAUAGUAUUUCCAGAAUGACUUCAUCUCCCUAUAUUUUGGGGCCACAUAAAGGCUAUCCAUAUCUUUUCUAUUCUUGACUGCCUAAGUUGCAAAAGAAAAAAAAAUUAAGUUCAUAUAAAAAAUGGGUAUUUGGAAAGUGACAAAAUUUCGUAUAAAAACAACAAAUUGGAGAAAGUGAGAGUGUGAGAGAAAGAACCUGGAAAUCACCAUAACAAAGGAGGAGGUCAAUUUUGAUGUUGCGAGUGUUUUCGAUGUAUUUAAUAGUGUCGUAGACCUUGUCGAGAUCUCCAUGCAUGCACCCUUCCACUGCUAUCUUCAUCAUUUUGAAUUGGACACAAUACUGUGGUAGGGUUUGAGAAAAACUUAAAACCUUAGGUUUUUUUCUUAAUGACUUUAUCCUCUAAAGGUGAAAACAAAAAACCAUGAAAAAAACACACUGAAAAUAGAAGUAAAAAGAAGCAUAUAUCUGAAACUAAAACAAGAAUGAAAAGGGCGACAGCAGGAUUAACAAUAAAAGAGCCAUGGACAGAUGGAAAGACAGGAGAACAGAUACCGAAAGAAAAUAUCUGUUAAAUUAAAAAAAUGGAGAUGAAUGAGACGAAAUGAGACAAUGUUUUCAAAAAUUCCAAUACCAAAAGCGGUUUCAACUUCUAUUUAUUAUAGAUUUUGCACUGCAAAAGUGAUAAAAAGGAAUCCAUGAAUGUAUACACAGGGCAAGAAAGAUACUAACUAAAAAAAGUUAUUUAUAGACAGGAGGAGUACUAAAUAUCCCAGGAAGCAGUUUUUUAUCCACGAGACCAGUAGGCUAUCUGGACUGUCACAUUAGAAAGACAGGUGAAAAAGUUCAAAGCAUUAUCUUAAGUGAGAUAAAAGGGAAAGGAAAGAAGAGACUACUAAAACUAGAGACUUUACAAAAUGAAAUGGCAAAGACAAAGACAAAGUACAAGUUAUGAGUCAUACCUGAAAUCAGUCACCGAUGAAGCAGAGAAAUUCAAAAAAUCACAAAAACCAGAAACGGCAGAGAAAACCUAGUGUAGAAGAGAUAGAUUUAAGGAUUCAAAUUUCGAAUAAUGGGAAGGAAACUGACCUUUGAUCGGAGGUAAGAUGCGGAAAGGUGUUGAUGGCGCGGCAGCGUCGGGGGUUUGUUACGAAAUGACAAGAAAGGAAGGGAAAGAGAAUAAAGAAAACGAAAGAGAGGAUUAACAGAGAUCAAAGAAUGGAAAAACAACAGAGAAUAAAAGGGAAAAUAAAUAAAGGAAAAUAAAUUUAAAGAGCUGGAUGAAUAGGUGAAGAAAUGGGGAAGCUAUGAACGGAAGAGAGAGAACAUAAUUUUCUAAAUCCCCAUGUGACAACGGUAACAUUUAUGGUAAUUAAUACCUUCUUUAAAUUAUUUUUUUUUUGAGAAAUUAAAGACAAAGAAGGUAAAUAGACUUAAGGAAAAAAAAGUGGGAAAAUCGGGAUAUUCCAGAAUGGGAUAUACCUAAGUCGGGAUUUCCCUAGAAUGGGAUAUCCCUGGCCGGAAUAAGUAUGACAGGUUGGCCAGUCCAGACAAUAAAAAAUAGCUGAACCGGCCACUAAAACCCAUAAAUCGGAAGCCAAAAAUUGAGAACCGAAAUAAGAAAAGACAGGAUAUCCGAGGAAUAGCUUAUUCCGAGUCGGAAUAUGACAGAGAUAAAGCCGGAACAGAAUAAGAAAGAAAAUUAACAUCCGAAAAAUGAAAAAAGACGUUAGAAACAGAAUAAGAAAGAAAAUUAACAACCAGUAAAGGAAAAAAGGCGUUAGAAAAAAAUUAAGGGGAAAUCGGAGAGAACAAAGGGAUCAACUGAAAGACAUGUAUUUUUUCAAUAUUUCCGUAAGAGAACAAAAUUUUCGAAAUUAAAAACAUUUAAGUCUCCUGUUUGGCUUCCGGGAAAAUGCAAGAUGAACAGAAUUUGCCAACUCACAGGUGAAUCAGGAAUUAUUUAAAAAGAACAAGGACUAAUGUCAAGUUUGAUACAAAUUUCCCUCGAUUUUCCUCGAUCAGAUAAACCAAACAGAAUAAAAAGAGACGAAGAAAAAACAAGAUUUUUCUAAAGAAUCAAAUUUAUAUCUUAAAAGAAAGACUAGCACUACCUCAACUCACUCAUUCGGAAGAAGCUACCGCUGAUUCAUGAACUCAAACCUUUUCUUUUCCUGUUUCGAGAGAGAGAAAGAAGCUAAUGACAAUGGAUCUUGAUUUAACAGAGUUUAUAAUAUAACAAUAUUAUAAUAUUUUUAUUUUAUUUUCAUCGGUAAAAUAAAAUAUUUAGAGGGGUAGAGUAAUUGGUUUCGUAAAUUUUAGGGGAAGGAACGGGCCUACUGGACGUACAUAAAACUAAUCAAAAGAGUAGCUAAUAAAGGAGAAAGGAACGUUAGAAAUAAAGGAAAAGUAGGAGAGAAUAUGGGAAUAAGCUGGUCAUUUCGCCACACGCCGAGUACAAUUUCAGAAUUAGUGUACUUUUCAUUUUAUUCAAUUCAGUCCCAACCUGCUUCAAAUACAUAUCUCGUGUCAACUUUUACAAGAUGAUUUGUGAGGUAUGUACAUGGUAAAGGGUGUGUCAAAUAAGGGAGUAUCCUUACCAAAAAUAAAUUAAUCUUGGAUACAUAAUGGGUUUCAUUUUAGACCAUAAAAAUUUAUUACUGACCAAUCAAAUAAGCUUUCAUCUUUCCAUCGAGAUUAGUGUAUUUCAAACGAAUUAUUUUUUCCAAAAUAUGUUGAGACCUAUAAAUUGAAAACAAGGUGAUUUAAUUCCUGAUCACACACCCAUAAAUUUUCAUUUAGAAGGAUUGACCAUCUCAGAAAUAUGCAAAAGGAAAUGAAGACAUAAAGAAAGAAAUGCAGUUCCCUUUUCAUGAAUGUCAAGACAAUAAGAGAACAGUGAAGGAUAUAACAAACCUGGUUGGCGUAACUGAUACCCAUGUUUGCCCAAGCACGCACAUAGUUUGGCUUCAAAUCUAGUGCCUAAAGAUCCAGACAUAGACCAAAAGACUAAAUUCAAUAGUACUGAAAAUAUGGCCACCACAAGCAAAGGGAAGUUUAUCAUCAAAUAAUUUUAAAUGGACAAUCUUAGUAACAGAGGCUAAACAAAUCAAACUGCAUAUGCAAGAUCUGAAUGCAUUAAAAAAAGGAAUUUGAGAGAUAUGAUCAAGGGUAUAUGUAAAUUGAGGAAGUGCGUAAUCAAAUCAUCUAAAUUAACCAAUAACUCUAACAAAUCAAAUAACUAAUUACAUGGAGCUUAAUAGAAGAGCUAGUUUGUCUUCUAAGGUCCAACUAGGUGCAACAUGUUAUUUGAAGAAUCUUUUUAGCAGCCUAAGGUUACAAAGAUGGAGCAAGUAAAUAAUUCAACCCUAUAGGAGAGCUGUAUAACACACCAAUGCAUCACUUUACCAUUGAAAGAUAAGAAAGAAGAGAAAUAGAGGAAAAUAUGAUGCAACCCAUAUGAGUUUGGCACACAGAAGAUUGACAUGUUGGGUUAUCACAUGUUUUGCAUUUCUUUAUGCCAUCCUUUCAAUUGAUUAAGCACAAGCCAAGUCCUAGGCACACUUUUUUGUAUAGAAGCAAAAAAGCCCCCUUGAUUCAAGAAGCAAAAAUUUACAUAUUCACCUUAAUUUACUCAAAAAAGUGCCUUUUUUACAUCUUGCACCUCAAAUGGUUCAGGUAGUUAUAGCACCCUUGCCGACAUUGUCAACACCUUCAUAGUUCAUUUUUUUUAUUCUGGCCUAACAUGCAAAAUAGUGAGAAACACACCAUACAAAUUGUGAUCCUUAGUAAAAUCCUAGUACUCAUAUAUUUUGAAUUUCACACAUUACAUUUAUUCCAACUUAGUAAAGAGAACCCCAAAAUUUUAGGAUAGGGAAAAAAAAAUUUUAAUUAUAAAAAAGGUAAUUAUGAAAUCAACAUAUCAGGUGGUAUACAGAUAGGCCACCACUAUUCAAGGGGGAAUCAUGAAGAGGCAACCUGUUGAUAAGCUAAUAUUGCAUCAGCACUCUGCACACUGUUGGCUUGUGUUGCACCAAGCUUGUUCCAAAGAGAAUAAUCAUUAGGUUUAAGUUUCAAAGCAGUUUUGAAAGAUGCAAUGGCCUUAUCAUUUUCACUCAACAAAUUAUACAGAACACCAAGGACUAUGUGUACAUCAACAUCCUCAGGAGACAUCUGAGCAGAUUCAUUGUAUAAUCUAGCAACCUGUAUGGCAGAAAACACUUCGAUUAACACCAGAAUAUAACAAUAACAUUUCCAAAAUGUAAUGUUAGGGAUAAGCAUCUAGUAAUUCACCGUAUGUAAAACUCUAAGUCCAAAAUAUAAUCACUGCAGUCAUGGAAAUCAUAUGCAAAAAGACACUCUUGUAAUCACAGCAUUCACAACAUAAGCAAACUAUCCCACAGUAACAUUAGAGGAAGCGGCUUACACUCAAACCAAUAAAUCCUAAAACCCUAAAGACAAAGGUGAACUAAAGAUUCAUAACUGAAAUGACUCUACGAUGAAGAAGAGGAUUUCAUAUAUUUUACAGAUCAAAUAAGCAAAAUAAAAAUCUGCAGUUCAUGCUUUGAAGGAAAUAAGUAUCAUAGUGCAUGGUUAUUCAAUUUAUUUUAGAGCUCCAAAUAAUAAUAAAAAAAAAAUACCCAGCAACAGAACAUAUCAAAAAACAAACUAAUGCAAACUACUACAAAAACAAUAAUUAUUAUUAAGGAACAAAAGGGGCAAACCUGGAAGUGGGAAGGGAAAGAAAGUUGUGAUAAGGGUUAAUAGCGAGAUUUCAAAAAGAAUGUUGGCAGAUGGCACAUCAUGCUAUCAUUCUUCAGAGUGAUACCAAAAAGAAGAAAAAAAGGGUACCUAGGUAGCAUAAGAUAAUGGUAUGAUCGUCACUGCAAUGGCUCUAGACAAUGAAACCCAGAUAACUAAGACUGCUAGGAGAUAAACAGUAAUUUAAUAUCUUCCUUAACAACUGAACCUUGGCCUGGUGAAGAAGGGAUUCAUCAAAAAUAUGCCAAUGGAAGCAUAAAAUAUAAGACUUGAACACAGGUGCCAACAACAUAAUAAAACAAAAUGCAGUCACGGAUGACUCUGAGCAGCAAGGGAAAAAAGAAAUCAACGAAUAAAUUCCAUGCUACCUCCAGACAAGUUCUACUAAGAAAGGAAACUGAAAUGAAAACCUAACUGCACUCAAGCAUUAUGGGACUUUGUUCCUUGACCUCCAUAAGAUGUCUCAAGCACGAAUCUAACGGUUUAUUGCACAUAUAAUACGCCGCAUAUUUUGCAAGUCAUGCUAUAUACUUCUUGAUUCAUUACAGACAACUUAUACAUCAGAACAUUUCAAGAUAAGAAACCACAAAGUACAGUUCCUCACCAAUAUCCUCCAAGGUCGAAGGUUCUGUCUCUGUACUCCUACUCUUUAUCUCCAUUGGAUUUACCUUCAGUCCCAUCAACCUUCUUAUAAUCGUUUGGUCUAAGAUCAGGACCAAUAUCCCUUACCCAACUUGCAGCAUAAAGACUAGAGGCCUCCUUCAAGACCUAAAGAAGGAUGACAGGUUUUUACUACUUAUAUACUAAAAAUAAAUGCCUCUUAUUCCCUAAUGCAUAGGCAAAUAAUAGGUUCUUGAGCAUUAUUUGGCAUUCAAGUGGUUAAGUUAACCAUUAAGUAAGCAGAACAGUACAUAAAAGUCAUUUGAUCAUUUCAAUAUCCCAAUGAUCUAAUUUCCACCCAGAUCACCAGCUAGCAUCUGUUCCAUUAUCCUUCUUUAAAAUUUGUUAAAUUGAACAAAAGCAAAAAAUAUAUAUAUUAUAAAAAGGAAGUGGCAAAAUCAUCAUAUUUGAGUAGAAAUUGCUAAUAGUUCAAAUGUAAAGUACUUCCAAACAUUCGUUCUUGAUUUAAAGUAAAAAACCAUGCAUUUUUUUCCUUCCAAAAAAGGUUUCAGAAUUCUAAAAUGUUGUUUCGCUUACGGUAAUAGCAACGACACAGAAAAAAAAAAAAAAAGGUUAAUUUACAAACCAAGCUCACUAUUUUACUAUGAUGGAGAAAUGAAAGAGCCAUGCUGUUUAAACUGGCAGUAAUAUCUAAACUACAAUCCAGUACUAAUAUAGCUUCUCCAUCACAUAAACCAUCAAAAAAAUACAAUUAAGGAAGGGGGGAAACCCAGAAAUCAAUAAGCAAACGAAACUCUUACUGCAGAAGAGAAAUUGGAUAAGAAAAGUACCAACAAGCGCUCGUGCCAAGUCAAUUUGCGGCGCUUUUUGAUGUGGGGCGGAUCAGGAAAUGAAGAAGGGAAAGCUAUUUCUUUGAGAUCGUAUUGAACGUAGUCAUACAGCUUCCUGCACACAACUUUUACCUUCAUUUUAGGUUGAUAUAAGAGAUACCCAACUUGAUUAAGCUAAUGAAUUAUCUUUGUAUUCCACUGUCUAAAUAUUUAGGGGAAGCAGGCUAUUAACAGGGUUCAGCGGUACUGAGGCCCGAGAGCUUUAGAUAAUCUUUUUUUAACCUAUUCAAGGUUUUCAGGAGCUAGCUCAUAUUUGGAAAGGUAAGCUGAUUAAAUUGUUUUAAAACAAUUGCUUCAAAAUUAAAUUGUUUUGUCAAAAAUAUUUUACUAAUUGUUGUAAAAUUAAAUUUGAUCCAAAGAAAAUUUACUUUAAUUUUGACAAUUUAGAAAACAACAAUCAAAUAAAACAACACACAUCAAUGUUAUUCCAAACAAAACCAUGAGAUUGUAGAGAUACCUUGGGUUGAUAUGAAUGGCCGACAUCCUCAAAAGAGAAACCUUCGUUUUCUACAUAAUUAACAAUACCAAAGCAAAAGAUGAGUAAUUUGGAUUUUUUGAAAAAUAAACCAAUAAUACGAUUCAAAUAUGAAACUUUGAAAGAAAACUCUUGUCGUAAGAUCAAAAAAGGCAAAUAUACUGUGUUCUUCACAAGAAAGAAAACAACAAGUGGUUAACAUCUUCUAAUGCAACACAAUAACCACUCGUAACUACUUUGUAAUACAAAACAACCUUUUCAGUUAAAUUGCAUCCCUAAUUCCAGCCAUGCCAUGCAUUUAGAUAUAACCUGAAUAUUUCAAUCAAAAUCCAUUUCUAAAUCAUAUAAGUACCAGCACACAAACAAUUCCAACUAAGUUCAUCGAUGAGCUCCACUCAAACUCUUUUAAAGAAAAUCUACCCCAAUCCUUACUGAUGAGUGAAAGCACCUAGCAGUGUGAAAAGAAAACCAAAUAUGCAUUGAUCCAUGGACGGACUAAUAUGCACCACCUUAGCACCAGAUAAAAUGCAAGACUUUUCACUCGAAAUAUGACCAUGUUCUUCUAGUUAAAAUUGAUGUUAAUUGAGCCCAAAGUCUCUUACUUUCGAUUCUAUUAGAAAACACACAACAAUGCCAUACAAACUGCAUUUUUCCUUGAAAAAAGAAAAUCAAACAGCAAUUGUAUAAGGAAAGUGGCCUUAAAUAUAUUUUAACUGUAGAUUAAAUGAAAACAGCCAAGUGUUGAAGUAAUUGGAAACAGCUAUUCCCUGUCCUUAAAAAUAUAAAAACUAUAGAUUAAAGGAUAUCAACCUCAUUUAACACUCAAGAUUAAACUUACCAGUAAACAGAGAGUAGGCUUCCCCUAAAAUACCUAUAUCUUGACAGUUCGGAAAAUUAGAGCAUAACUUUUUCACAUUGUCCUAAUCAAAUUUCCACACCAACCAUUAAUGAUUCGGGAAAUUUUGAAUUAAACCCAAAACACCACAAGAAGAUUGUUCAAAGAAUCAAAUUCAUGCAAACUAAUACGAUAUAAGCCGAAGUCAUUAACCAAUGGCUGCUUAAAUAGAACUCUGUUACUUGAAUCACUUACCACAAAAACAAAGCAACAUCUUCCAAAAGCUGCUUAAAAUAUGAAUUACACAAAAUCCGAAGCCACUUUUUUUCAGAUAAGAUGCUAUCCUGGAAGACAUGAGAUUCUUCAAACAGCUUCGAAUCAUUAAUAAGCUAUAUGAGAGAGCAUCAGAACCAUAUUAAACACGAGAAGCAAAAGGUCUUCCUAGAAUCAUGUAUACUCUAGGUUUGACUGCAUCACAACGAAGAUUAACUAAAAGCCGCCAAGAACUGUAUAGCAGGACAAUGCAUCAAAACUGAGUGGGCAAGGUAAAUAGAAAACUCUUUACCUUUUCGAGGCAAUGAAGCAGGAGUAUCCCUGGAGUCUGAUGCAUUAUCAAGAACAUAAGGAAGAUCUAGCAAUUCCCAGAAAGAUACAGUCUGAGGAUUAUGGGGGGAACCUACACAAGGUGAGAAAAUUUUAAUAAUUAAAAAGGAAAUUGACCAAAAAAAAAUUGCAAAAGUCAUGAAUAUUCUAGUUGCAAUUCUAAAUAAAUAAGAAUGCAUUUGCUAACCAACAAUUAAUUGAGCUAAACAAAGAUAAAAAAUGAUGGAUAGUGAUUUGGAAUGACUGUGACAGUAAUAUCGAGAUGCCUAAUCAUGACAGUGAUAAGUGGCAUAAAUAUGCAAACAUACAUGGUGAGUUUCUUAAAUAAAAAAGAUAAAACCAUUAAUUGAGAUACUUUGAGCACCUCAAAGAAGGAAAAGCAUCAAAAUAUCACCAUAUUAUUUACCAGAAAAAAGUAGUGUUUGAAACUGAAUGAGAGGGGUUGUGAGGUGGAGCUGUUUGAGAAAAUUCACAAGGUUUGGCUCCUCUGUCUUCUAUCCUGCUCUUAACCAAUUGACGACAAUCUUGCAUGUCGAGCUGUGUUCUCCUACAUAUUAGAACAGCAGUUGUCAGCUCACUAGUUCUUGUAGAGUAAUAGUACUUGCAAAAAUAGAAAAUUGCACAUUUUCAAAUAAAUAUUAGUCCACCCCACCCAAAAAAGAAAGGAGGAGCGAGAUGAGUGUCAUGGUCAAAACAACAUGGUCAAAACAAAAAUGUCAUAUAUACACACACCCAAAGUCUCCACAUCGAAAGGUCAAAGGAAAGACAGAAUUUUCAUGUUAUUGCCAGCCAUUCUUCAUCAUAUUGAACCUCAUAAGGUCCUGGAUCAGAUUCAAUAUCAACAAUCUAAAAGAUCAGAGAAAGAAUUCAUUUAUUAGCUUCCAGCAAAGACCAAAAGAAAGAACCUAAAUGAAAUGGUCAAAACUUAUAAUACAUACCUGCAAGAACUUGAGCCCUGGAAGGCAUUUAUCGAGUGCAAGAAAUUUUGUCACUUGACCACCCUCUUCAUGUUCAACAAGAGCGGUGAAUUUACAGUGCAAGUGAGCUGAAAACCAAUAUGAUGGUUUGAGUUUUUCGAGCAGCUGAGCAGCAGGCUUGCUUCCAAUAGUUCCUUGCUGGAUCUAGGAAAUAUGUUUCAACCAACAAGCAACCAGAAAUGGUCAACAAGAGUUCCUUUUCUUCAUAUGUUCUAGCUUGGGAUUUUGAUAGUUGCUUGACCAUUUCAGCUUUGAAAAUGGGGUGACUUACAAUUCCCAUAAAUAAUUGUAAAUCAAAAUCCCCAAGCUAGAACAUAUGAAGAAAAGUGGGUGACUUACAAUUCCCAUAAAUAAUUGGAAGCUUCAUGAUUUCCACCAAUAAAAAUGGUGGGAACUGGGGCAACCUCCUCACCUGAAUAGUAUUUCCAGAAUGACUUCAUCUCCCUAUAUUUUGGAGGCGCAUUGAGGCUAUCCAUAUCUCUUUCAUUCCUGACUGCCUAAGUUGCAAAAGGAAAAAAAAAUUAAGUUCAUAUAAAAAAUGAGUACUUGGAAAGUGACAAAUUUUCAUAUAAAAACAGCAAAUUGAAGGGAGAAAGUGAGGGUGCAAGAGAAAGAACCUCGAAAUCACCGCAACAAAGGAGGAGGUCGAUUUCGAUGUUGCGAGUAUUUUCGAUGUAUUUAAUGGUCUUGUAGACCUUGUCGAGAUCUCCAUGCAUGAACCCUUCCACUGCUAUUUUCAUCCUUUUGAAUUGGACACAAUAUUGUGGCAGGGUUUGAGAAAAACGCUGAAAAUCAAAAUCUCUGACAAAAGUACACAGGAAAGAAACAAAAAGAAUAAACGAGUGAAAUAUUAGAAAUAUUAGGCUAUCUGGACAGAAAUAUUAGAAAGAAAGCCAGCCGAAAAAGUUUAAAGCAUUAUCUUAAGUGAGAUAAAAGGGAGAGGAAAGAAGAGACUUUACUUUGGUCAGACCAAAGACUGCAAACCUGAACCAACAACACCCCAAACCCACACAGCUAAACACACCACACUCCAAACCAGAGAUGAAAAAAGAAAAAAGCAAAAAGACAAAUGUUGAAGCAGAUUCAUACCUGAAAUCAGUCUCCCAUGAAGCAGGGGUUACAAAAAUCGGAACAAAGAAACGGCAGAGAAAUGAACCCACUGAAAUAGAAGUAAAAAAAUCAUUGAUCGGAAAACAAAAUAGAAAUCAAAAGGCAAAGACAGACAAAGACAAAGUUCAGGAUUCAUACCCCAAAAUAAGUCCCCGAUGAAGCAGUCGGUUUCAAAAACCACAAAAAACAGUGUAAGGUGUGUGUUUUUUUUUGGCCUUUUGUUACCCAAAGCUAAAAAAAUGAGAGGGAAGAAAUUGAAAAGUGACCGAGAGAGAGAACCGGUAAAGAAAUGGGAAGCGAUUUGGAUUGAAGAGAUAUAUUUGAGGAUUUGUUAUGAAAACAGAAUAAAUGAGGAAGAAAAAGAAAACAAAAGAGGGAGACCAAGAGACAGAGAGAGAAAGAAACGGAUAAUAAAUGUGCAUAGAUUGAAGAGAUAUUUGAUAAACGGCUAACAAAUCAGUUUUGGGCCAUUUUAACGGUCACUUAAUAUUUUAGUUUGAAUCCCCCUUUAAGAUAUUAAAAACAUUCAAGUCUCCUGUUUGACUUCGGAGAAAAUGCAGGAUGAACAGAAUUUGCCAACUCACACCGAACCGGGGUCAUAAAAAAACCGAACCGGGGUAAAAAACCGAACCGGGAUCAAAAACCGAACCGGGGUCCCAAAAAACCGGAACCGGGAUAUAAAAAGAAUGGGAUAUCCCUGAGGUAAUACUGAACCGGGAUAUCUGUGGAAUGGGAUAUCCCCGGCCGGAAUAAGCAUGACAGGUAGACCGGUUCAGACAGGAAAAAAAGCUGAACCGGCCACUAAAUCACUUAAACCGGGGGCCAAAAUCUCUGAACCGGAAUAAGAACUGGUAGGAUAUCCUUGCAAUAUUCCGAGACGGAAUAUAACUACAGCAGAACACUUAAAAAUCUGACAGGAUAGAAAAUUCUUAACGACAAAACGGAAAAAUCCAAAGCAUAGUUUUCAAAUAACAUAAAAGCAGGUUAGGAUAACGAAUUAAUAUAUAUAUAAAAUUAGAUAGGUGUCAACGGUAACAUUUAUGGUGAUUAAGAUGUCAACGGUAACAUUUAUUGUGAUUAAAACAUUCUUUAAAUCAAUAAAAUUAUUUUUGGGAAAUUAACAGAUACAGAAGGCAAUUCGAAGCUUCUAUCAAGGGAUCAACUAAAAUUUGUUCAAUAUUACAGUAAGAGUACCAAAUUUUCGAAAUAAAGAACAUUGAACUCUCCUGUUUGGCUUCCGGGAAAAUGCAGGAUGAACAAAAUUUGCCAACUCAAAGGUGGAUCAGUAAUUAUUUACAAAAACAAAGAUUAAUUUCAAGUUUGAAACAAAUUUCUGUCGAUUUUCUUCAAUCAGAAACCAAACAGUAAAAUAAGAGGUGUCAGUUUAUGUCUAACACUGAUUUGUUCAAUAAUUUAAAGAGUUUUUUUUAUACACUUGGAGAGUCAUAUAACAGAUCUAUAUCCAGGUGUAUAUUACACAUGGAUCUUGAAUACAAGUUCUUAAAAAUAAAAAAGGAAAUUGGGAGCAACAUAAGUAACAUGGAGCUACCAAGUUAAAACAUACCCGAUAGCACUCACAAUACUAUUUUAGGCAUUUUGACUUCUUGUAUUUGCAUCCGCUUUUGUGCCUGGCUGAAUGAGUGUUCAUCAAGUUUUCAUAUUUUCUCAUGUCAAACACUUAAGAAAUUACACAAAUUUAAAGAGAAAAAAAAAAGUGUAAGAUUAUCAAGUUAUAAUUACAGUAACAUUAGGGGAAUCAUUAGGUGGGUUAACAAUAGGAGGAGCAAAUGCGAGAGGGUUACGCAAUUCAAUUUGAUGUCGAAUAUCAAGCACAAUAUCCUCAUAAUCUGGCGUGUUCAAACAGUUAUCACAUGCACAACAAUCCUUGCAGUAAAUCCCUGCUGCAAAGCACUCACAAUAACUGCUGAUCACAACAUACAACAAAACUCAACAGAUGUUCCAAACAUCUUCUAAACAUCUUCACUUUUUUUGAGCACCCUCUGAACAUUCGGGGUAUCAUAUUCCAAACAUCUUCUAAAUACAUGAAGAAAACUUAAAAGAAAACUAAAGAUAGCGAUCUCGGGUACAUACUUAAACCAAGUCCGAGUAACAUAGUACUUAAGUGAAAUGUUCUGUCUCGCAUGUGAACUUACAGUGUCAAACAUCUGGAUCUUCUACAGUUGCAGCGUUUACAGGCUUCAGUCUCAUCUGGGAAUGUUUCUCUAUUCCUGAAUUCAAUAAAUCCCACAGCUAAGAAAUCAAUGUGAAAAUCAUUCAAGUAAAAAAGAUUAUGUAAACUUGCCUCUCCCCUUUUGAGCUAUCUUGGGAUUUGGAAUCUAUUAACAAUCAAGUCAUUACUGGAAUCCUCGUCAAAAAGAUCUGAGAAUAGUAGGAGGUAGAGAGAAGCCCAUGCUGCAAUUAAAGCAUGGAAAGUUGAAAAUCCCCUGUACAAGAUAAGGCUAUCUAGAUCAAUGUUGCAAAGAAAUUUAGGAAAGAAAGUUAUAUUUUGAACAAUUUUUUAUACAAGAAAAAGGAAAAGAAGAAAAGAACAUAGGACAAAAUUGCACCGAUUGUUCCAUUCCACUUUUUCUUUAUCACUUAGUUUUCCAUAUCCUUUGAAACAAAAAGGGCUGAUAAAACCUGUUAUAUCAUAGACCUGCAAGAAUAAUAUCGAACAUAUUUAGAACUUAAAUAGAGGGAGAGAGACUAUCUCAAAACAGUAUUAAAAGGCUGUUACUUAGAAUCGAGGGUUAGUGUCAGAUAUAAUAUAAGGAUGCGUCCAACAUGGGUAUACUAAACCUUUUAAAGUUCUUCCAUAUAUUUAGAUCAUCAUACUUUAGAAGGAAAAAAAAAAAAAGAAGAGUCUAGGUAACAUAGUUUAAAAAGACAGAUAACUCAAUAAGUUGCAUUAAUCUCGAAAACAUUUCAACUAUCAAAAAUACCAACAAAUAGACCCAGAAAGAGAAGUGAAAUUACCUUUACCAUAUAAAAAAAAAAAAUUCUUAUGCAGCUACUCAAUUUACUUCUAAAGCUAAAGCCAACUUAUGAUAUUUAAUGAUAGAAUUGCAUUAUGUUUCCAAUGCAUGAUUCUUUUGUUUGGAAAGUUCAAAUACUCCCAAUGUAAGAAUAUCUAAAUAUGAGCAUCAGAAAUUAGAUAAAUAUGUACAUUCUGUACUCUAAAAGUGAAAUGUGAGCCGAUGUACUGAUGACAAAUCUAAUACUGCAGUUCUAGGCAGUCCUAAAUAGGCAGUCCUAAAUAGAUUAAUCUAAGGUCAAGUGGUUUAAAUCUAAUCUUCAGGGGGUUUCGAUAAUUUCCCUAAAUAGUCCACAAACUUUGGCAACUUAGAACAAACCUAAUAAACUACUCCAACUUGAGCAUGGACAGCAAAUGUAGAUAUGGACAACUUUGACCCAAAAUUCAAAGAUACAGGUCCAAAAGUGGAACCACUACCAAGGUCUUUUAGACGUCAGUGUGGAGCUGUCUUAUCCUAAGUUUCCCAAACCCUUUUAUGCUUCAUUUGAGGUUAGAAUCUCGGGAAGGCAGGUCUUUUAUGAGUGUUAGCAUAAUUUAGUUGCAUCAUUGUUGGUGCCAAACCAUUUUUUUCUCAACCAACCUAUUCUUCCUCUCUGUUUUAAGGUACUAUUCACGGUCAUUCUCUAUUUCUUAAUUGCCAAUUUCAAAGCCUAUUCCUAAAUUUUGGAUAAAAAUAAAUGGUAGAAACUGGCCGAAUAUGAUUCUAAGCAAUUUUAUACUACCAUAACUAUUACCAUUCCCAGAAAAGAAAAAAAGCUACCUAUGGAGCUAAUCUAUCAACAAGAUUUAGGAACAAAUUUAAUUAUCACGAACUAGAUAAGGCUGAGGAUGGUUUACUGAGUGCCAAGAUUAGAGUGAAUUGAAUUUAUAAAAGAUGGAAAUGAAAAAGAAGAUUAAUAAAAGCCAUUGAAUUUGACCGAAAUCUACAAAUAAGAAAGAGCUGAAAAAAGUUCCAAUCCACCAAAAAUGUCGUUGAUGAAAGCAAAAGCAUAUUGGACUACUUACUAGUUUGCAGGUGAUGAUGCCCCAAAAAGCAUGAUGCGAGCCAAUGUAUUGGGUCCUCUCUCACGGAAACUAACUUGCUACUCUAGCGUUGGUGUUUUUUGAGAUUUGGUCUCCCAAAGCCAGGAAAAAAAUGAGGAGAAAAUUGAGAAGAGAAUCUGUUCUGAAAGAAGAAUAAAAGGAGGAAGGGAGAAAAAGCAAGCAAGAGAGACAAACGGCUAAUGUAUUGGGGAAAGUUAUAGAUGGAAUACGGAGAGAUAAACGGCCAAUAAAUGGGGGUACGUGAUUGAAGAUAGGGAGAAACGGCAAUAAAUGGAAUAGGUAUGGAUUAAAAGAAACGGUUAGUAAAGGAGUAUUUAAUUUUCAAACUAUGGAAAAGUAGCAGGAUUUGUAAAGUCAGCAGAAAACGGGUAAUGGGCUCCUUUUUAAAAAUAGACUGAAUUUAACUUGAAAAUUAAAUAAGGAGCAAUUUUAAAAAAUGUAAAUAUUAAAGUUCAAAUUUUUUAUAUGUAAAUACUUUAAAUUUUAUUAGCCAUUCAUAAAUAAUUUUAAUGCUAGAAAAUCAAUAAAAUAUAUAUCUAAAAAUAUAGAGAAGAAAAUAACUUAAAAUUUUGAACUAUAAAGAGAAAUUGAUAGAAUUGUCUAUUUAAAUUGGAUCAGACAAUAUUUUACUUGAGGUGGACUUGACUUUUUAGCCUUCAAAUCUAUUUUUUUACAAUAUAAUACUAUAUUUAUUAAUUAAAAAAAGAAAAAAGGGAAACACUUCUCCUACCCAUUAUUGCCCCAAAUCUAAGAUUUUUUAUAUCUCCAACUUACAGUGACAUUGUAGAGAAUUUUUAUUUCUCCACCGUUUAUUCGUUGCUUUAUGUUUUAUGGUUCUCCAACAUACAGUUUUAAUUUUCCAUAAAUCCAUCCCAUUAAACUAUAUGAGAGAGCAUCAGCACCAUAUUAAACACGAGAAGCAAAAGGUAUUCCUAGAAUCAUGCAUACUACUGCAUCACAAUGAAGAUUAACUAAAAGCUGCUAAGUACUGUAUAAAGCGACAAUGCAUCAAAACUGAGUGGGACAAGGUAAAUAGAAAACUCUUUACCCUUUUGAGGCAAUGAAGCAGGAGUAUCCCUGGAGUCCGAUGCAUUAUCAAGAACGUAAGGAAGAUCUAGCAAUUCCAAGAAAGAUACACAAGGUGAAAAAAUUUUAAUAAUUGAAAAAGAAAUCAAGCAAAAACAAAUUGCAAAAGUUAUGAUUAUUCUAGUUGCAAAUCUAAAUAAAAAAGAAUGCAUUCGCUAACCAACAAUUAAUUGAGCUAAAAUAAGACAAAAAAUGAAGGAUAGUGUUUCGUAAUGACUGUGACAGUAAUAUCGAAAUGCCUAACCAUUAUAGUGAUAAAUGGUAUAAAUAUGCAAACAUAUAUUGUCAGUUUCUUAAAUCCAAAAGAUAGAACCAUUAAUGGAGAUACUAUUAGCACCUCAAAGAAGGAAAAGCAUCAAAAUAUCACCAUAUUAUUUACCAGAAAAAGUAGUGUUUGAAACUGAAUCAGAGGGUUUGUGAGGUGGAGCCGUUUGAGAAAAUUCACAAGGUUUGGCUCCUCUGUCUUCCAUCCUGCUCUUAACCCAUUGACGACAAUCUUGCAUGUCGAGCUGUGUUCUCCUACAUAUUAGAACAACAGUUGUCGGCUCACUAGUUCUUGUAGAGUAAUAGUACUUGCAAAAAUAGAAAAUUGCACAUUUUCAAAUAAAACAUUAGUCCACCCCACCAGAGAGAGAGAGAGUGAAAUGAGUGGCAUGGUCAAAACAAAAAUGUCAUAUAUACACACACCCAAAGCCUCCACGUCAGAAGGUCAAAGGAAAAAGACAGUUUAAUUUCCGUGUUAUUGCCAGCCAUUCUUCAUUGUACUGAACCUCAUAAGGUCCUAGAUCAGAUCAAUAUCAACAAUCUAAAAGAUCAGAGAAAGCCAGAAUUCAUUUAUUAGCUUCCAGCAAAGACCAAAAGAAAGAACCUAAAUGAAAUGGUCAGAACAUAUGAUAGAUACCUGCAAGAACUUGCGCCCUGGAAGGCAUUUAUCGAGUGCAAGAAAUUUUGUCACUCGACCACCCUCUUCAUGUUCAACAAGAGCAGUGAAUUUACAGUGCAAGUGAGCUGAAAACCAAUAUGAUGGUUUGAGUUUUUCGAACAGCUGAGCAGCAGGCUUGCUUCCAAGAGUUCCUUACUGGAUCUAGGAAAUAUGUUUCAACCAACAAGCAACCAGAAAUGGUCAACAAGAAAACUGAAUACGCUUGAUAUGAAGAUUUUCAUUCUUUCACAUAUAUGUAUUUCCACCAAAUCGAUUAUAAUUGCCUCAUCUUUGAAAUGUUUUUUGUAGCGAACAAGUUGUUGCCGGUUUCCACAAUUAGUGAUGCCGAGCAGCCAAUCGUGUCAAAGGAAAAUAUCAAUCGGUUCCUCUAGGUGCAUGAGCUUGUGAACAUCAUACUCCCGGACAUGAUACACAGACCUGAUAGUAUUGUCAUUAUAAGGUGGCCUUUCAUGGUGUCCUGCUCACGGAAAAGCUAAUUCAUUUCAGUUUCAAAGCUGCGACUCUCCACCCUAAAUAAGAAUCAAUAAAACAUAUUUGACACUCGCUUGCAGUAAAUAAACAAUCACCAUUAAACGAACUCCAGAAUAAACAUAGAAUAGACAAGUAAAAGAACUUCAUACCCAACCUAAACAAUAAUUACGCGCAUUGUAAAUUCCGAAAAGUCCACCGAUACGGAUAUUGCCAAACUUCACAACCCCGGCAAACCCCAAGAAGUAUAUAUUAGGUGCUGCCCAUCCCCCAUAAUACCUAAAGUUCACACAUUUCAAUCGCAGAAGGUAAAAUUCAAGGCCUUUUCAUAAAAGAAUCAAAAUCCCCAAGCUAGAACAUAUGAAGAAAAGGGGUGACUUACAAUUCCCAUAAAUAAUUGGAAGCUUCAUGACCCGAAUAGUAUUUCCAGAAUGACUUCAUCUCCCAAAAUUUUGGGGGCACAUUAAGGCUAUCCAUAUCUUUUUCAUUCCUGACUGCCUAAGCUGCAAAAGAAAAAAGAAAUUAAGUUCAUAUAAAAAAUAAAGUGACAAUAAUAUU